GACAAACGCCGGCGGCAUGCCUAACACAUGCAAGUCGAACGGACAGACCAGGGAAGCUUUUCGGAGUGGAACUGGAAAGUUAGUGGCGGAUGGGUGAGUAACGCGUGGACAACCUACCUUGUAAAGGGGAAUAACCUCGAGAAAUCGAAGCUAAUACCCCAUAAUAACCUUGCUUCGCAUGAAGUAAGGAGGAAAGGCGGCCUUAGCGCUGUCGAUACAAGAUGGGUCCGCGUCUGAUUAGCUAGUUGGUGAGGUAAAGGCUCACCAAGGCGACGAUCAGUAGCCGGCCUGAGAGGGUGAACGGCCACAUUGGGACUGAGACACGGCCCAAACUCCUACGGGAGGCAGCAGUGGGGAAUCUUCCGCAAUGGGCGAAAGCCUGACGGAGCAAUGCCGCGUGAGUGAAGAAGGCCUUCGGGUUGUAAAACUCUGUCCUUAUCGAAGAGAGAGUGUUGUAGUAACUGACAAUACUAGGACGGUAGAUGAGGAGGAAGCCCCGGCUAACUAUGUG
rnacentral:rRNA from 1 species